rnacentral:rRNA from 1 species
UACGUAGGGUGCGAGCGUUAAUCGGAAUUACUGGGCGUAAAGCGUGCGCAGGCGGCGCGUUAAGACAGGUGUGAAAGCCCCGAGCUUAACUUGGGAAUUGCGCUUGUGACUGGCGUGCUGGAGUGUGGCAGAGGGAGGUGGAAUUCCACGUGUAGCAGUGAAAUGCGUAGAGAUGUGGAGGAGCACCGAUGGCGAAGGCAGCCUCCUGGGCCAGCACUGACGCUCAUGCACGAAAGCGUGGGGGAGCAAACAGG